UAAGGAAUAUUGGUCAAUGGAGGGAACUCUGAACCAGCCAUGCCGCGUGCAGGAAGAAGGUCCUCUGGAUUGUAAACUGCUUUUAUAAGAGACGAAAAAGCGAGAUUUAUCUUGUGUUGACGGUAUCUUGUGAAUAAGCACCGGCUAACUCCGUGCCAGCAGCCGCGGUAAUACGGAGGGUGCAAGCGUUAUCCGGAAUCACUGGGUUUAAAGGGUGCGUAGGCGGUCAAAUAAGUCAGUAUUGAAAGCU
rnacentral:rRNA from 1 species